rfam:Ictidomys tridecemlineatus contig016592, whole genome shotgun sequence.
AGAUAGGAGAUAAAUCCACCUGUGACAUUGGUCAAUUCUCUGGUUACCCAAGUUUAAUUCAUCUGAUUGGGCUAAUGAGUCGUGUAUCUCCAACCACCCUCAUCACUCCAUGUAUAUCCCUCCUGAAGUUCCUUACUAGGUCAAAGAAAACAAUAUUCCCCAAUAGAGGAGGGCCAUUCCAUAGUCAAAGGUACACAAGUAGCUGUGCUUCUCUAUGAGAAGUAUACCCAGGUAUACUAAGAGUUACUAAGGUUACAUUAGAGUACAUUAAACAUUUUGCUUCACUGGAAUUUGGAGGUUAAUA